rnacentral:rRNA from 1 species
GUAGGUGGCAAGCGUUAUCCGGAUUUAUUGGGUGUAAAGGGCGUGUAGGCGGGAAUGCAAGUCAGAUGUGAAAACUAUGGGCUCAACCCAUAGCCUGCAUUUGAAACUGUAUUUCUUGAGUGCUGGAGAGGCAAUCGGAAUUCCGUGUGUAGCGGUGAAAUGCGUAGAUAUACGGAGGAACACCAGUGGCGAAGGCGGAUUGCUGGACAGUAACUGACGCUGAGGCGCGAAAGCGUGGGGAGCAAAC